GGCCGCCUGGCGAAAUGGCAUCGCGUCUGACUACGAUGGACAAUAUUCCCGCUUGUGCAGCUGUAAUCAGGAGAUUGCAGGUUCGACCCCUGCGGUGGUCA
rnacentral:tRNA from 1 species